rnacentral:rRNA from 1 species
AACGAACGCUGGCGGCAGGCUUAACACAUGCAAGUCGAACGGAUCCUUCGGGAUUAGUGGCAGACGGGUGAGUAACGCGUGGGAACGUACCCUUUGCUACGGCAUAACUCAGGGAAUCUUGUGCUAAUACCGUAUGUGCCCUACGGGGGAAAGAUUUAUCGGCAAAGGAGCGGCCCGCGUUGGAUUAGCUAGUUGUUGGGGUAAUGGCCUACCACGGCGACGAUCCAUAGCUGGUCUGAGAGGCAGAGCAGCCACACUGGGACUGAGACACGGCCCAGACUCUUACGGGAGGCAGCAGUGGGGAAUAUUGGAAAGUGGGCGGAAGCAUGAUCCAGCCAGGCUGGGUGAGUGAUGAAGGUCGUAGGAUAGUAAAGCUAUUUCACCGGUGAAGAUAUUGACGGUAGCCGGAGAAGAAGCCCCGGCUAACUUCGUG